UUUACCCACUUAAGUCUAGAGAAUCUAACAUGUCUAGAGUGAUAUCCCAAUUUCUUGAAGAGGAAAAAUUAGGAUAUCACUUUAGACACGUUAGACUCUCCAGACCUAAGUGGGUAAG